GAUGAACGCUGGCGGCGUGCCUAAUACAUGCCAGUCGAACGAAACUUCUUUAUCACCGAGUGCUUGCACUCACCGAUAAAGAGUUGAGUGGCGAACGGGUGAGUAACACGUGGGCAACCUGCCCAAAAGAGGGGGAUAACACUUGGAAACAGGUGCUAAUACCGCAUAACCAUAGUUACCGCAUGGUAACUAUGUAAAAGGUGGCUAUACUACCGCUUUUGGAUGGGCCCGCGGCGCAUUAGCUAGUUGGUAGGGUAAAGGCUUACCAAGGCAAUGAUGCGUAGCCGAAUUGAGAGGUUGAUCGGCCACAUUGGGACUGAGACACGGCCCAAACUCCUACGGGAGGCAGCAGUAGGGAAUCGUCCACAAUGGGCGAAAGCCUGAUGGAGCAACGCCGCGUGGGUGAAGAAGGUCUUCGGAUCGUAAAACCCUGUUGUUAGAGAAGAAAGUGCGUGAGAGUAACUGUUCACGUUUCGACGGUAUCUAACCGGAAAGCCACGGCUAACUACGUG
rnacentral:rRNA from 1 species